GUGGGGAAUAUUGGACAAUGGGCGCAAGCCUGAUCCAGCCAUGCCGCGUGAGUGAUGAAGGCCUUAGGGUUGUAAAGCUCUUUUGUCCGGGAAGAUAAUGACUGUACCGGAAGAAUAAGCCCCGGCUAACUUCGUGCCAGCAGCCGCGGUAAUACGAAGGGGGCUAGCGUUGUUCGGAAUCACUGGGCGUAAAGCGCACGUAGGCGGACCAUUAAGUCAGGGGUGAAAGCCUGGAGCUCAACUCCAGAACUGCCUUUGAUACUGAUGGUCUCGAGUAUGGAAGAGGUUAGUGGAACUGCGAGUGUAGAGGUGAAAUUCGUAGAUAUUCGCAAGAACACCGGUGGCGAAGGCGGCCAACUGGUCCGGUACUGACGCUGAGGUGCGAAAGCGUGGGGAGCAAACAGGAUUAGAAACCCGGGUAGUCC
rnacentral:rRNA from 1 species